CUUCAGUAUGCAUAUUAUUAUUUUAUCGGUCGUCUGCACUCGUCGAGGUACAUACAGGUACUCGUAUAACAUAAUGUCUGCGAGGAGAAGAAUUUGCGCGGUAAUGACUCGGACGGCCGUGUACGCGUUCGACAAAUAUCACUUCACCAUCAACGCGUUCAGCGGCUCCGCGAUAAUGUGUGUCGGCGACAUCGCACAACAAAACGUAGAACGUUACCACGGGUUGUCCGAGGGUUACGACUGGUCGAGAACCGCGCGAAUCGCGGUGAUAGGCAGCAUUCUGGGAUCGGUACAGCAUAUCUUUUACCGGUCACUGGACAACCGAUAUCCAGCCAGGGACGCGUUCACGAUAGCCAAAAAAAUAUUCAUCGACCAAACGGUGUGCACACCCCUCAACAUAGCAGUGUUCAUCUACGGUUUGGGUUUCUUGGAAAAGAAGACUUUGGCUAAGAUCAAUGAAGAAUUUAAAGACAAAUGUGCAAUGAUAUUUUUGGUUGACUGUGCAGUUUUUGUCCCAACUCAAUACAUAAACUUCAAGUUUUUAGACCCAAAAUACAGACUUCUAUUUACAAACAUGGUUUCUAUUAUGUAUGAUACUUUUCUCUCUUAUAUUAAGUAUACUCAUGAUAUUCUCAAAUUGAUGGAAAGACAAAAUAACAAUAACAAUAAAAAUUGAAACGUAAAGGCAAUCUAAACAAAAAGUAUAACAUAAAUUCAGAUAUAACAUAAAUACUUGUAUUAAAAACUGAGGAGAAUAAAAUAUAGUUGAUUUGAGAUCAUGGACACCAGAAGCAACCAGUUGUCUAGCAAGCCAAUCGAGUCCAUCAUGAAGACCAGCACCACUCUGAGCAUCACAAGCUUGUAUAUGCCAACUACGCCCACAGCACAAUUUGUACAAACCAAAUAAUUCAGUGAUGGUUUCAACUGUCACACAUCCAUGUAUAUCCUUAGAAAUACAGACAAAAAAUAAAUUAUUUAAUAA